rnacentral:rRNA from 1 species
UACGGGGGGAGCAAGCGUUGUUCGGAUUUACUGGGCGUAAAGGGCGCGUAGGCGGCCACCGCAAGUCAAUUGUGAAAUCUCCGGGCUUAACUCGGAAAGGUCAACUGAUACUGCGGGGCUAGAGUGCGGAAGGGGCAACUGGAAUUCUCGGUGUAGCGGUGAAAUGCGUAGAUAUCUGGAGGAACACCAGUGGCGAAAGCGCGAGACUGGGCCGUAACUGACGCUGAGGAACGAAAGCCAGGGUAGCAAAAGGG